CUCUGGACCACUCUCCUACCUCUGGACCACGAGGCAGAGAAUCAAUGUCUAUCUUGUCCAAAUCACUGUAUUUUGGGGUUUCUUCAUUGAUGGAGCUUUAACCUAUAACCUGAAUAAUGAAACUUCGGAGAAUUUUGUACACAUUACAAAAGAAACACUAGAGUCAAAGUUCACAUGGCCGACCAGUAACAAAGAGUUGAUGGACUGAAUUUUGAGCAGAAUUGCCUGAGAUGAUGGCAUAAUAGUAUGACCAAGGAAAUAUGGGUCCCCUGGAAAACAUGGAACAAGCCACCCUAUCCUUGGGGAAUAUAGGCAACUGGGAUCCUUUCUUCCUCGUUUACCCCUCUGUUAUUUAAGCUCCAUUAAAGCUGCUGAACCAUA